rnacentral:rRNA from 1 species
UGAACGCUAGCGGCAGGCUUAAUACAUGCAAGUCGAACGGUAACAGGUCCAGCAAUGGAUGCUGACGAGUGGCGCACGGGUGAGUAACGCGUAUGCAACCUACCUUCAACUGGGAGAUAGCCCCGAGAAAUCGGGAUUAAUACCCCAUAGAAUACACGAAUCGCAUGGUUUGUGUAUUAAAGCUCCGGCGGUUGGAGAUGGGCAUGCGUAACAUUAGCUUGUUGGUGAGGUAACGGCUCACCAAGGCUACGAUGUUUAGGGGUCCUGAGAGGGUGAUCCCCCACACUGGUACUGAGACACGGACCAGACUCCUACGGGAGGCAGCAGUAGGGAAUAUUGGGCAAUGGACGCAAGUCUGACCCAGCCAUGCCGCGUGCAGGAUUGACGGCCCUAUGGGUUGUAAACUGCUUUUCUGCAGGAAGAACUCCCCCGACGUGUCGGGGGCUGACGGUACUGUAGGAAUAAGCAUCGGCUAACUCC